CAAAGAAUCAAAAUACAUUGCCAUGCAGUUUGGAAAGAAGAUUAGAAUGUGUGUAUAUGAGUGUACCAUUGGACUAAAUGCCACCAAAAUUUUUAAAAUACGGUGACCGCCACUUGGGUCGUUUGCUCAGCACUUCCCGGCACGUGCAGACUGCGCACCGAUGACACGACACCACCUCGGCUUGCCUUGGCAAUCACGGCGCCAAAUCCAGACCAGACUUUCGCGCACAUCUGGCAACGGCGAUUGGGGACUACAACGGACACCACCGGAAGAGGACUUAAAAGCCAGCCAGCAAGCGUCCACUUCGGGCACGGCACCGCAUCGAGUAUGCAGCGUACUCAGCUACUGCUAUUGCAGGUGACCGCCACUUGGGUCGUUUGCUCAGCACUUCCCGGCACGUGCAGACUGCGCACCGAUGACACGACACCACCUCGGCUUGCCUUGGCAAUCACGGCGCCAAAUCCAGACCAGACUUUCGCGCACAUCUGGCAACGGCGAUUGGGGACUACAACGGACACCACCGGAAGAGGACUUAAAAGCCAGCCAGCAAGCGUCCACUUCGGGCACGGCACCGCAUCGAGUAUGCAGCGUACUCAGCUACUGCUAUUGCAGGUUAGUUACGUACGGUGUGCUUCAUGCAUUAAGAGUAACAACUGCUGUUUCAUCGCGGUGUCGUGCCCACUUGAGUGGAUUGAUGUCUUAAAGCGUUCUAAUUUACUCCUGUGUUCGCUCUACUCUGCAGUGUUUGAGUUGCUCCUCUUGCUUUCUGGCGACGUUGAGACGAACCCAGGUCCAAUGUCAAAAGCUGAGGCAGAUGCGUUUGCCUCGGCUCUUGAGUCGAUAAAGAAACUAGAGGCCGCACAAGAGGCGCUCUUGGCGGAAUUAAAAAGCGCAAAGGACAAACAAGCUGCCACCGAUAAUGAACUCAUCAUUCUAACUGCCAAGGUUGCGGCGAUUGAGUUGGCCACUUCCUCAGAAAGCGCUGCAAACUCGAGCGUGAAGGAAAAAGGAAGCAGAACUUUACGUGAUGUCUCAGAUCAGCUGCAAACAAUAACUUCAAGAUGUGAGGAUGCAGAAAACAGGCUCAGACGAAGUAAUUUGCUGUUUUUCGGAAUAGAAGAUGACCCUAAAGAGGACAGGGCUACCCCUGAAAAGAAAGUCAUAAAAUUCUGCUCUGAUAAACUGCAAACUGCAACAAUCAGUUCACAAUUCGAACGCGUACAUAGGCUUGGGAAAUAUCAAGAAGGAAAGAACAGGCCCAUAAUAGCUAAACUAACUUUUUUUAAAGACAAGCAACGCAUCUUGUCAUCCGCGCACAAAUUAAAAGGCUUAAAGUAUUCAAUCGGUGAAGAUUUCUCGCCAGCUACGCGACAAGCUAGAAGGAAGCUGCUUGACUUCGCCAAACCUCAAAAAGUUCCUUUUAAACUGUCAGUAGAUCGGCUGCUUAUAAGUAACCAGACUUACACGUACGACAAAAACACCGAUACCAUUGUCAUGUCACAAAGAUAGCUAGACAUAAGCACUUUCCCACGGGCUCUUCCACAGUCAAAACUACCUAUCAAUGGGUCUUCGUUGACACUAUCUUACGCAAACAUACGGAGCAUCAUGCCCAAGCGCGAAUUAGUUUGCUCUCUGCUUGACGAUAACGAAUCUAAUAUUGUUGUUCUUACCGAAACAUGGCUAAAUCCUGACAUUACAGACGACGAAAUUCUUCCUGAUAACCAUUCUUAUAAUAUUUAUCGCAAAGAUCGAACUAGCAAGAGAGGCGGGGGCGUUCUUCUUGGUGUUAAAAAAUCAUUAUCUUCACUUAUUAUCGACUCGAACUCACCUCUUGAGAUUGUGUGGGUUGAAGUAAUAAUAAAUACGACCAAACUACUGGUAGGUGCCUGUUACCGUCCACCUGACUACAGCACUUCUUUCGUUACAGAACUACGCAAUAGCAUAACCACGGUCCUCCAGCUCUGUCCUGCGCGUUCUGUUUACUUAUUCGGUGAUUUUAACUUUCCGCUCAUAAAUUGGUGUAGUCUAUCAUCAUCUUGUCGAACAUCUGUGGAUUUUCUUAACUUAACUUUAGAUCUUAACUUGUUCCAGGUCGUUAACAAACCAACCCGUGGUACUAACAUUCUAGACCUUAUACUCACCAACACUCCCGAAACGAUUGAAUCCGUAGUUCAUCUAAACGGCUUUAGCGAUCACGAUCUACUUCAGGUAACAAUCAGUGUUCCACUACCCUUUUCAGGGAUCUCAAAGAAAAUAAUACGUGAUUAUAACAAGGCAAACUACUCUAAAAUAAACGAUGAACUUGAAGUAUUUUUCAACCGCACGCUACUUCCUUCCUUUUAUAAUCGCUCGGUGGAAGAUAACUGGGUAUGUUUCAAGAAUAAAAUGUCUGCUCUAAUUAACAAACAUAUCCCAUUGAUCUCGAUAACAAAUGACAAAACAAAUCCUUGGUUUACUAAUGCCCUACGUAAGCUCAGGAAUAAAAAGAAACGUCUGUACAAUACCGCUAAACGCGUCAAUAAUGCUCCUUCGUGGGAAAGGUACAGCCUUUGCUUAAAAACGUACUGUUCUGCCUUAGCUGCAGCUAAAAAUAAAUAUUUCGCCACAGAUUUACCUUCUCUCUUAAAUUCGAAUCCGAAAAAGUUUUGGCGAGUUAUAUCACCUGACCGUGACUCUAACCGGAUAGCCUUGCACAGCGAUACAAAUACUCCCCUCCCUGACAGUGAGUGCCCCUCUGCGUUUAAUACGUUUUUUUCAUCGAUUUUCAGCCGCGAGGAUCAUACCAAUGUACCUGAUGUUGCUGAUUAUGACUGGCAAUUCAUGGAAAGUAUUGAAAUCUCGGUGGAGGGAAUUGCACUUCUUAUUAAUAAUUUGAAGUUCUCUACUUCAUCUGGUAUUGACAAUAUUAGUUCAAAGAUAUUAAAAAAUACCAUUUCUAUAUCCAGUAACAUUCUGUACCAUAUAUUCAAGCAGUCUCUGUCAUCGGGACAACUGCCCAAUGACUGGAAAAUGGCCAAAAUCAUACCCAUAUUUAAAACUGGGAAUAAACACUCUCCGGAAAAUUACCGUCCAAUUUCAUUGACCUGCAUUUGCUGCAAGAUGCUCGAACAUAUAAUUGCUUCUCAUAUUUACAAUCACCUAGAGUCCAAUAAUUUCUUUUUUCGCCAUCAACAUGGUUUCAGGAAAGGAUUAUCAUGUGAGACACAGUUACUCGAAUUCACGACUGACCUGCAUCUUAACAUGAACAAUAACCAGCAGACCGAUUGCAUUUUCCUUGACUUUUCUAAAGCAUUUGAUCGUGUAGCUCAUUGUCGUCUUAUUGCUAAAUUAACUGCACUUCGAAUCGACUCCUUCACUCUAACAUGGCUUCGUAAUUUUCUUUCGAAUCGUCAACAGUUCACGGUUGUUAAUAAUAUUGCUUCGUCUCCUACUUACGUUACUUCUGGUGUGCCUCAGGGCAGCGUUUUGGGCCCUUUACUCUUUCUAAUUUACAUUAAUGAUUUGCCACUUAAUGUUUCUUCUCGCUUACGUAUUUUCGCUGACGACUGCAUUAUUUACAGAUCAAUUAACAGUACUGACGACCACCUAGCCCUUCAAAAUGACCUUAGCCUAAUUCAUAAUUGGUGUAACACCUGGUUAAUGGCUUUAAAUGUAUCAAAAUGUCAGGUUAUUUCUUUUAGUCGUAAGCGUGACAACUCACAUUUCUUAUACAACGUCAAUAAUAAAGAAUUGUUACAUACAGUAUCGUAUAAGUAUUUGGGUGUUCACCUAACCGAAAACCUCUCCUGGGCAGACCAUAUUACAACCGUUUGCGCAAAAGCUUCAAGGACACUAGGUUACCUACGUCGUAAUCUGCGUAAUUCACCUUCUAACAUCCGCAAAUUGGCCUAUCAGACAUUUGUUCGUCCACAGCUCGAGUAUGCAUCCUCCAUUUGGUCCCCACAUCCUACAUACUUAAUCGACAUGCUUGAAUCAGUCCAGAACCGAGCUGCCCGUUUCAUUUCACGUAAUUAUAGCCAUCACUCCAGCGUAACGCAAAUGAAACUCGAUCAUUCCAUACAGCCUUUAGUUUUUCACCGUAAUAUCGCUCUGUUAUCCUUGUUUCACAAAUAUGUUUAUAAUGCCACACAAUCCACACUACAUAUCCAGACCGCCUCGAACACGUCUCGUCGAUUAAAUAACCACUUAAGCUUUGCGCGCAUGUACGGUACGACACAUGCUUUUAACUUUUCCGCACUCCCUACGGCCAUUCGCUUGUGGAACAAUCUACCUGAGCACAUUGCUUCCGAGUCCGAUCAAGAAAAAUUUCGUCAUCUCCUACACGAGCACUUUUCAAAAUAGCACUUAUAAAUCACUUUAUCUUUUUUCGUACACUUUGCAAUCUGCUUCGAACUUCCUGUGAUAUUUUUUUUUUUGAUGCAUUGCUAUCUCGCUCCUGUGAAUUGCUAUUUUAUGCUGCGUCGUGUGUUCACUUGUAUUGCCUUGUAUAUAUUAUUGCUUUUUUGCGUCUUUUUCCCUGAUUAUAACUUCAAGAAUUGUACUCCCUGAUAUGUUCAUCUUUUGUGUAUUUUACUUUCUAGUAUUAAUGCCUUACGUUACGUUUUACUCAUGUUGU